rnacentral:lncRNA from 1 species
UGUUUUUAUUAGCAGGUUAUUACUAUAACGCUAUUAUUGUUUACGCUACUACUCACUUAGGCUAUAAUAACAUAAUUACAUUUCUAAUAAAAGUUUUUAUAUCAAAAUAUAUUGAUUGUUACAUUAUUUGAAAACCAAUCAAUUAAUCCAUCUUCCUACGUAAGAUAUUAAUCUAUAACGUUUCUAAUAUCAGCAGAUCACCAGGCACUUAAGCGCACUGACUGCCUGAGUGAAGGUACUGUGUAUAGGGCUGAAGCGUUGGGCGGGCGACAGCGUUAGUCCUUCUGUAACAACUUUUCCCUGUAACACUCCCAGAGGCAGAGCGCGUGCCGAACCCUGACAGCAUUAUCCCAAACGCCCGGUGCAUAGGCUACCAGACCAUACGAUAGGGUACAAUGAGUUAAGCAAUGGAGAGGCAUCAAAUAAUACAGGUUUCCAUAUUUUCUCUUUCUCUUUCUCUCUCUCUCAAUUUCUUUCUGUUCAGGACUAACAAGUCUACAGUAAAUCAGGAUCCUGGUUCUCUCUCUAGGGGCCUCUAGGGGAGGGGCCUCUGUCGUGGCUUUACCCUCUCCUGGCCCCGACAGUAGCUGUCCUGCAGGACUCGCCAAGGUGUAGACACAGAAGUUAUGAAGUAACUUACAGCGAUACUUGGUCACACAAAUGGGACCCACUGAGCACAAACAUCAAUUGAACGUCUAUUCCACGUUGGUUCCACGUCAACCAGUGUGUGCCCAGCGGGGAUCUUUUACAGUGCUAUGGUAAAGAAACAGUGGACCAAACAAGGGAAUGGUAAAUGGGGAAUGGUGGUAAGUACACACACAGGAAAGAGGAGACGUGGAAGCAGAAGGAACGAAAGGAUAUACAGUGCCUUCAGAAAGUAUUCACACCCUUUGACAUUUUCCACAUUUUGUUGUGUUACAGGCUGAAUUUAAAAUGGAUUAAAUUGAGAUGUUGUGUCACUGGCCUACACACAAUACCCCAUAAUACCAAAGUGGAAUUGUUUUUAGACAUUUUUACAAAUUAAUAAAAAAUGAAAAGCUGAAAUGACUUGAG